rnacentral:rRNA from 1 species
AGCUAGUUGGUGGGGUAACGGCCUACCAAGGCGACGAUACGUAGCCGACCUGAGAGGGUGAUCGGCCACACUGGAACUGAGACACGGUCCAGACUCCUACGGGAGGCAGCAGUAGGGAAUCUUCCGCAAUGGGCGAAAGCCUGACGGAGCAACGCCGCGUGAGUGAUGAAGGUCUUCGGAUCGUAAAGCUCUGUUGUUAGGGAAGAACAAAUGUGUAAGUAACUGUGCACAUCUUGACGGUACCUAACCAGAAAGCCACGGCUAACUACGUGCCAGCAGCCGCGGUAAUACGUAGGUGGCAAGCGUUAUCCGGAAUUAUUGGGCGUAAAGCGCGCGUAGGCGGUUUUUUAAGUCUGAUGUGAAAGCCCACGGCUCAACCGUGGAGGGUCAUUGGAAACUGGAAAACUUGAGUGCAGAAGAGGAAAGUGGAAUUCCAUGUGUAGCGGUGAAAUGCGCAGAGAUAUGGAGGAACACCAGUGGCGAAGGCGGCUUUCUGGUCUGCAACUGACGCUGAUGUGCGAAAGCGUGGGGAUCAAACAGGAUUAGAUACCCUGGUAGUCCACGCCGUAAACGAUGAGUGCUAAGUGUUAGGGGGUUUCCGCCCCUUAGUGCUGCAGCUAACGCAUUAAGCACUCCGCCUGGGGAGUACGGUCGCAAGACUGAAACUCAAAGGAAUUGACGGGGACCCGCACAAGCGGUGGAGCAUGUGGUUUAAUUCGAAGCAACGCGAAGAACCUUACCAAAUCUUGACAUCCUUUGACCGCUCUAGAGAUAGAGUUUUCCUCUUCGGAGGACAAAGUGACAGGUGGUGCAUGGUUGUCGUCAGCUCGUGUCGUGAGAUGUUGGGUUAAGUCCCGCAACGAGCGCAACCCUUGAACUUAGUUGCCAUCAUUCAGUUGGGCACUCUAAGUUGACUGCCGGUGACAAACCGGAGGAAGGUGGGGAUGACGUCAAAUCAUCAUGCCCCUUAUGAUUUGGGCUACACACGUGCUACAAUGGACAAUACAAAGGGCAGCGAAACCGCGAGGUCAAGCAAAUCCCAUAAAGUUGUUCUCAGUUCGGAUUGUAGUCUGCAACUCGACUACAUGAAGCUGGAAUCGCUAGUAAUCGUAGAUCAGCAUGCUACGGUGAAUACGUUCCCGGGUCUUGUACACACCGCCCGUCACACCACGAGAGUUUGUAACACCCGAAGCCGGUGGAGUAACCAUUUUGGAGCUAGCCGUCGAAGGUGGGACAAAUGAUUGGGGUGAAGUCGUAACAAGGUAGCCGUAUCGGAAGGUGCGGCUGGAUCACCUCCUUUCUA